AAAGGCGCUUUCGGGUGUCGCUGAUGGAUGGACCCGCGGUGCAUUAGCUAGUUGGUGAGGUAACGGCUCACCAAGGCCACGAUGCAUAGCCGACCUGAGAGGGUGAUCGGCCACAUUGGGACUGAGACACGGCCCAAACUCCUACGGGAGGCAGCAGUAGGGAAUCUUCGGCAAUGGACGAAAGUCUGACCGAGCAACGCCGCGUGAGUGAAGAAGGUUUUCGGAUCGUAAAACUCUGUUGUUAGAGAAGAACAAGGAUGAGAGUAACUGUUCAUCCCUUGACGGUAUCUAACCAGAAAGCCACGGCUAACUACGUGCCAGCAGCCGCGGUAAUACGUAGGUGGCAAGCGUUGUCCGGAUUUAUUGGGCGUAAAGCGAGCGCAGGCGGUUUCUUAAGUCUGAUGUGAAAGCCCCCGGCUCAACCGGGGAGGGUCAUUGGAAACUGGGAGACUUGAGUGCAGAAGAGGAGAGUGGAAUUCCAUGUGUAGCGGUGAAAUGCGUAGAUAUAUGGAGGAACACCAGUGGCGAAGGCGGCUCUCUGGUCUGUAACUGACGCUGAGGCUCGAAAGCGUGGGGAGCAAACAGGAUUAGAUACCCUGGUAGUCCACGCCGUAAACGAUGAGUGCUAAGUGUUGGAGGGUUUCCGCCCUUCAGUGCUGCAGCUAACGCAUUAAGCACUCCGCCUGGGGAGUACGACCGCAAGGUUGAAACUCAAAGGAAUUGACGGGGGCCCGCACAAGCGGUGGAGCAUGUGGUUUAAUUCGAAGCAACGCGAAGAACCUUACCAGGUCUUGACAUCCUUUGACCACUCUAGAGAUAGAGCUUCCCCUUCGGGGGCAAAGUGACAGGUGGUGCAUGGUUGUCGUCAGCUCGUGUCGUGAGAUGUUGGGUUAAGUCCCGCAACGAGCGCAACCCUUAUUGUUAGUUGCCAUCAUUCAGUUGGGCACUCUAGCAAGACUGCCGGUGACAAACCGGAGGAAGGUGGGGAUGACGUCAAAUCAUCAUGCCCCUUAUGACCUGGGCUACACACGUGCUACAAUGGGAAGUACAACGAGUUGCGAA
rnacentral:rRNA from 1 species